rnacentral:rRNA from 1 species
GGUAGUCCACGCCGUAAACGAUGUCGACUUGGAGGUUGUGCCCUUGAGGCGUGGCUUCCGGAGCUAACGCGUUAAGUCGACCGCCUGGGGAGUACGGCCGCAAGGUUAAAACUCAAAUGAAUUGACGGGGGCCCGCACAAGCGGUGGAGCAUGUGGUUUAAUUCGAUGCAACGCGAAGAACCUUACCUACUCUUGACAUCCAGAGAACUUAGCAGAGAUGCUUUGGUGCCUUCGGGAACUCUGAGACAGGUGCUGCAUGGCUGUCGUCAGCUCGUGUUGUGAAAUGUUGGGUUAAGUCCCGCAACGAGCGCAACCCUUAUCCUUUGUUGCCAGCGGUUAGGCCGGGAACUCAAAGGAGACUGCCAGUGAUAAACUGGAGGAAGGUGGGGAUGACGUCAAGUCAUCAUGGCCCUUACGAGUAGGGCUACACACGUGCUACAAUGGCGCAUACAAAGAGAAGCGACCUCGCGAGAGCAAGCGGACCUCAUAAAGUGCGUCGUAGUCCGGAUUGGAGUCUGCAACUCGACUCCAUGAAGUCGGAAUCGCUAGUAAUCGUAGAUCAGAAUGCUACGGUGAAUACGUUCCCGGGCCUUGUACACACCGCCCGUCACACCAUGGGAGUGGGUUGCAAAAGGAGUAGGUAGCUUAACCUUCGGGAGGGCGCUUACCACUUUGUGAUUCAUGACUGGGGUGAAGUCGUAACAAGGUAACCGUAGGGGAACCUGC